rnacentral:tRNA from 1 species
GGUGGUGUGGCUUAGUGGAAAGAGCACAGGGCUGGGAAAUGAGACCUGUGUUCUAGUCCCAGCUCUAUCA